AUUUCGGAACGUAGCCAAUGGAUUAUAAGACAUUUUUUAACUAAUCUCUAAAAAAAUAUAUACUCUAAGUGCAAUAAAUUAUAACUUUGGUAAAAAUUGAUAUCGAGAUAGUUUAAAAAGCAUUUUACAACUUGAAGUUUCUAUUUCAACAGAGAUAAUUUUUACAGAUCUACAGUCUGUACAUUACGAAGAAAGGAUGACAGAAUGCGAGUAUUAUG